rnacentral:misc_RNA from 1 species
UCAUUAUCAACCCUCAAGCCUGGCUUGCUGUUGGACCUCUCGUCGUUAAAAGACGGGUCCUAAAGUUAAUGGCGGAGUCGUCGGACCCUAGAUGCAACGAGCUCUCGUAGCACGCAUUCAAGGGGCUCACGGCUCUAGUCUCAACCCAUAUCAUUUACAAGGUUGACCUCGGAUCAGGUAGGAAUACCCGCUGAACUUAA